rnacentral:lncRNA from 1 species
AUCGUGCGAGUCUCGAAGGUAACCACCCCGAUCAGCGAUGGGAGUAAACCUGUCAUUGCAAACUUGCCGAUAUUUUCUUCAACCUAUAAAUUAAGGAAAAAAUCUAUCUGGUAUUUAACCCAAAAAUCUUAAAGAUACAUAGAAGCCAAAGACAUAGAACUUAGAAGGACUGAAAAGUCUUAAAAAUAUAAUCAAAGAUAAAAAGGCUUGAAUAAGCUAAUAGGCUUCUUCUCUAAUCAAAGAUAACUCUAUUUAAUGCCUUGAAUUCUUCUGUUGUAAUAUAUAAUGUAUGUAACAUAGUAGAGAUUCAUCUUCUCACGUGAAAUUUCUUUCCAAUUGGUUCAGACACUCAUCUAUUUGAGAGCUUUUCUCCAUUCCAUUAAUGGAAUUGAACUCAUUCUACAACAAUUCAACAAAACCACACUAUUAUAUAAAACCUUGAUCCUAUCACACUUUAACCAUACAGAUCUUAAAUUUCAGUUUUACCACUAUCAAUAGGAAGAAUAGGUUUCAAGUACUCUACCAACUUACCAUGUCCAGUUAAGCUCUAUAUAUGUAGACAUAGCUAACCCCAACAGAAACAGUACAUCUCAAAGUGAAGCUUCUCCUGCUCCAGGCCAUGACUUUCAAGAUCAUUUUCCUUCUGUUCCAGCAGCUGAUCCAUAGUCCUAAAGAGCUUU